rnacentral:rRNA from 1 species
AUGGCUCGUGAUAUUCUUGCUAUCCCCAUUACAACGCUGGCUUCCGAGUCAGCCUUUAGCACAAGUGGACGCAUACUUGAUGACUUUAGGACAUCUCUAACUCCAUUUAUGGUACAAUUUUUAGUUUGUACGCAAGACUGGCUGAGAAGGUCAACAAAUCCUGGCGACAUCAAGGAGAACUUGGAAGAAUUAGAAGAGCUAGAAAAAGAGUUGAUUGAAGAAUUUGGUGAUAAGGUGAAGAGAAAGCGCAAGGUCAAUGCUGGUGUUGUUGCUUCUUCCAUGGCCAAGUCGACCAACAAAAGACAAACGCAUUCACGUUAA